CCUACGGGAGGCAGCAGUGGGGAAUCUUGCGCAAUGGGCGAAAGCCUGACGCAGCAACGCCGCGUGCGGGAUGAAGGCCUUCGGGUUGUAAACCGCUUUCAGCAGGGAAGAAAUUGACGGUACCUGCAGAAGAAGCCCCGGCCAACUACGUGCCAGCAGCCGCGGUAACACGUAGGGGGCGAGCGUUGUCCGGAUUUAUUGGGCGUAAAGAGCUCGUAGGCGGUUCGGUAAGUCGGGUGUGAAACCUCCAGGCUCAACCUGGAGACGCCACCUGAUACUGCUGUGACUAGAGUCCGGUAGGGGAGUGUGGAACUCCUGGUGUAGCGGUGAAAUGCGCAGAUAUCAGGAAGAACACCAGCGGCGAAGGCGGCACUCUGGGCCGGUACUGACGCUGAGGAGCGAAAGCGUGGGUAGCAAACAGGAUUAGAUACCCUGGUAGUCCACGCCGUAAACGUUGGGCACUAGGUGUGGGUCUCAACCAACGAGAUCCGUGCCGCAGCUAACGCAUUAAGUGCCCCGCCUGGGGAGUCGGCCGCAAGGCUAAAACNAANANAUGNGCGNGAGAGNGCGAGACGACGACGAGGAGAGG
rnacentral:rRNA from 1 species